UUAGAAGAUGCCACUCAUCCUGAUUCCACCAUGGACUACAAGCUGCUCUGCUAUGUGGCCCUCUGUCUCAUGGGAACAGUCCUCAUGGACACUGGAAUUACUCAGAUGCCAAGACACCUGGUCAUGGGGAUGAGAAAUAAGAAGUCUUUGAAAUGCAAACAACAUCUGGGGCAUAAUAAUAUGUACUGGUAUAAACAGAGUGCUCAGAAGCCACCAGAGCUCAUGUUUAUCUACAACUAUAAGGAACUCGUUGAAAAUAACACUGUCCCGAGUCGCUUCUCACCCGAAUGUCCAGACAGCUCUCAGUUAUACCUUCACAUGGAUGCCCCGGAGCCAGAAGACUCCGCCGUGUACCUCUGUGCCAGCAGCAAAGACACAGCCUUGCAGAAGCACCUUCUGCCUGUGCAGAAACGGCCUGGGUCCAGUCAGGAAACUGUGGGGCAACCAAGGCUCCGUUCAGCAUUUCCUGUGAGAGCCCAGAAAGAAAUCUCAGAGCACAAUGCUGCCUGUCAAUUCACUGGCUAUGACAAUGUUAAAUCCCAUGCAGACCCAACAGCCUGUGGCCUGGCCUUGUCUUUAACUUGA